GUUUUAAUAGCUUAAUAACAAAGCACUGGUUUUGUAAGCCAAAGAUGGGGUUUUAGCCCCCCUUAAUACA
rnacentral:tRNA from 1 species